AUUGAACGCUGGCGGCAGGCCUAAUACAUGCAAGUCGAGCGGUAGCACAGAGAGCUUGCUCUCGGGUGACGAGCGGCGGACGGGUGAGUAAUGUCUGGGAAACUGCCUGAUGGAGGGGGAUAACUACUGGAAACGGUAGCUAAUACCGCAUAACGUCGCAAGACCAAAGAGGGGGACCUUCGGGCCUCUUGCCAUCAGAUGUGCCCAGAUGGGAUUAGCUAGUAGGUGGGGUAACGGCUCACCUAGGCGACGAUCCCUAGCUGGUCUGAGAGGAUGACCAGCCACACUGGAACUGAGGCACGGUCCAGACUCCUACGGGAGGCAGCAGUGGGGAAUAUUGCACAAUGGGCGCAGGCCUGAUGCAGCCAUGCCGCGUGUAUGAAGAAGGCCUUCGGGUUGUAAAGUACUUUCAGCGGGGAGGAAGGUGUUGAGGUUAAUAACCUCAGCAAUUGACGUUACCCGCAGAAGAAGCACCGGCUAACUCCGUGCCAGCAGCCGCGGUAA
rnacentral:rRNA from 1 species